AUAGCUUUGUGAAAUUUCUGACUGCCAUUCAGUUAAAAAUAGACUACUGACAAUAAAUGGGAAUGUAGUCUGAAUUCCAAUAUUCUGCCUUGUUAAGUAAUACUGCUUGAACCUUUAUGUGCAGGUCUAUUUCUCUACGUUCUCUGAGUGAGAGUGUGAAGCAGACAUAUGCAGAGCUCCUCCGACUGAAGCAGAUGGCCAGGCUAUCUGGAAUUCUGCUCGGCUGACCCUGGCUUCACUCCCAGAGGUGACAUAGAGACACCAUAGAGAACGUCGCAUGAGAAAGAAUUUGCCAAAUACUAAACAGAGGAAGAAAUAUCGGAGGAGAAAGGAAAAGAUACUCUUGUGUUCACAUCAUUAUCUUGACCACAGCUUUCAAUGAGAGAGAAAAUAUGUAUUUUUCAAUGAUUUCAAAGGAAAUCAAUGGUGUAUUUCCUUUUUUUCCAGCUUAGAGUUAAGGGUUAUAAUGGCUACUGUGUAACUGAGUAAAAUAUACCUAUUGUCUAAUGAGAAAGUCUCACAAACGGAAUCUCAGAAUAGAGAACGGACUGACACGCAGCUAUUCUAGGAUGGUUGCUGUGAAGAUCCUUUUCUUAUCUUUGGUUCUGAAGUUCCACUAAAAUAUACCUGGAUGUAGAUUUAUUAUUUUUUUAUCACUCUUGGGCAUCACUGGGUUAACAGACUAUGAG